rnacentral:rRNA from 1 species
CAGCGCCACGAGUGGCAAUCGCGAUUAUUGGGCCUAAAGCGUCCGUAGCCGGACAGGUGAAUCCGCUGUGAAAUCGUCGCGCUCAACGUGACGGCACGCACUGGACACUGCCUGUCUCGAGACCGGGAGGAGUCAGAGGUAUGCCGUGGGGACUGGUAAAAUGGAAUAAUCCGCGGUAGACCACCAAUGGCGAAGGCAUCUGACGAGAACGGAUCUGACGGUGAGGGACGAAAGCCAGGGGAGCGAACCGGAUUAGAUACCCGCGUAGUCC